UCCCAAAUAGUCUAGGCGGUUAGGAUACGUGGCUUUCACCCACGCGACCCGGGUUCGGGUUCCGGUUUGGGAA
rnacentral:tRNA from 1 species